rnacentral:rRNA from 1 species
UGGGAAUAUUGCGCAAUGGGGGAACCCGUAGGACCGCAGCGACGCCGCGUGAGUGAAGAAGGCUUUCGGGUCGUAAAGCUCUUAUCUGCGGGAAGAAGAGACGGUACCGCAGGAGAAAGCCCCGGCUAACUACGUGCCAGCAGCCGCGGUAAUACGUAGGGGGCAAGGCGUUGUCCGGAGUAACUGGGCGUAAAGGGCGCGUAGGCGGAAUAAUAAGUCAGUUGUGAAAGAUAUGGGCUCAACUCAUAGAACGCAUCUGAAACUGUUAAAUCUGGAGUAUAGGAGAGGGAAACGGAAUUCCUGGUGUAGCGGUGAAAUGCGUAGAGAUCAGGAAGAACAUCAGUGGCGAAGGCGGUUUCCUGGCCUAAAACUGACGCUGAAGCGCGAAAGCAUGGGUAGCGAACAGGAUUAGAUACCCUGGUAGUCCAUG